UGAUUUUAUAAUUAAAAAUAGAAAAAAAACAUAAGAUUUUACGCGUGCGCGUAAUGAGAUUUGAAAUUCAAUGAAAAUACAAAUGGUGUAAACAUGACUGAAGAACUCUCUGGUGUUACAAUAGUGAUAUUUAUUGCGGCCGGAGUUUUAACGAUAUUAUUAUUAUUCAUAUUUGCAAAACGACAAAUAAUGAGAUUCGCAUUACGAUCACGUCGUGGUCCUCACAUUCCUAUUGGGCAUGAUGCAAGGAAGUCAUUGAAAAAGGAAAUUGAAAGACGGAUAGAAGUAAUACCAAAAAUUCAAUAUGAGCCACAACUUAUUAGUGAUCCAAGACUUAUUUUAACUCCUCGAGGACAUGUUCCACCUCAUUAUUAUAGAUUAAAAGCAGUGGAUGAUGUUAAAACUUUAGAAGCUGAAAUUACAAAAUAUGAUAAUUGUUUAAGGAGGCAUCCAUCUGAAAAUUUACGAGCAUAUUUACUUGCCACAUUAGCAACUCCAUUAAAUGGAAGUGGACAAAGAUUAAUUCAUCAAUUCUGUGAUUUAUAUGAACAUGCACGACAUGAUCCAACUGAAUUUGGAGACGAAGAAUAUCAAGUAUAUACCCGUUUAUUUCUUAAGUUAAUGGAUGCGGCCCGUUUGUUAAAAUCAUAUCCGAGCAGUAGAAAAUCUAGUCCAAGUCGUACACCUAUAAAGAAAAAUGUUGAAACGAAAAGGAAUAUAUUAGAACCUAAAAUGAAAUUACCCGAAGAUCAAACAUUGACUGGUUCACGACCAAAUACAUUAACGGUAAUGAUGCUGGAUAAUAAUGAAACAUCUGUUUAGCAUUAUGAAAAUCGUCACAUACAACAUAUGUGACGAAUAGUUGUUUCAUAAUUGCUAAUUUCUACACCAUACGGAAUUGCAAUUGUUACGAACAGAUUUUUUACAAUAGAAGUUGUUUCAGUCUAACAUGUACCAGUUUACGAUUAAAUAUCGAUCUCUGUUUUAAUCGAUAAAUAUUUAGUCCAUACAUCUCUAUAAUAGGAAUUAUGUCUUAAACAAAUUAAUGCUCGAUGAAAUGUGGAUUUAUACGAACUAGAAAUAUUACUCAUUCUCAUGUAAUUUAACCAUUCCAUCAUCUGAAAGGUAUAAUGUUAUUAAAAGAUUUUUAAUUCUUAUAUCGUUAUUACGUAAAAAAUUGUUUAAUUGCUAAAUUAUUAUUCGGUCGUAAUUAUACAAUAUAAUAUAUAAAUAAUCGUAAUAUAUAAAUAAAUCGUAAAUACCUGUGGAAU